GAACUAUGAUGAGUCCUAUCCCGAACCUGAAUUGGUGAUGACACAACUUUAUGGAUCUGACUGCUGAGUU